rnacentral:rRNA from 1 species
GACGAACCGUGCGAACGUUGUUUGGAAUCACUGGGCUUAAAGGGUGCGUAGGCGGGUUGUCCAGUCUGGGGUGAAAUCCCACGGCUCAACCGUGGAACUGCCUCAGAUACUGACGACCUCGGGGGAGGUAGGGGCGAGCGGAACUGUGGGUGGAGCGGUGAAAUGCGUUGAUAUCCACAGGAACUCCGGUGGCGAAGGCGGCUCGCUGGACCUCUUCUGACGCUGAGGCACGAAAGCUAGGGGAGCAAACGGG